rnacentral:rRNA from 1 species
UACAGAGGUCCCGAGCGUUGUUCGGAUUCAUUGGGCGUAAAGGGCGCGUAGGCGGGCUGACAAGUCUGGGGUGAAAUCCCACGGCUCAACCGUGGAACUGCCUUAGAUACUGUCGGCCUCGAGGAAGGUAGGGGCAUGCGGAACUGUAGGUGGAGCGGUGAAAUGCGUUGAUAUCUACAGGAACUCCGGUGGCGAAAGCGGCGUGCUGGACCUUUUCUGACGCUGAGGCGCGAAAGCUAGGGGAGCAAACGGG